UACGUAGGGCGCAAGCGUUGUCCGGAAUUAUUGGGCGUAAAGAGCUCGUAGGCGGCUUGUCGCGUCUGCCGUGAAAGCCCAUGGCUUAACUGUGGGUCUGCGGUGGAUACGGGCAGGCUGGAGGCUGGUAGGGGCAAGCGGAAUUCCUGGUGUAGCGGUGAAAUGCGCAGAUAUCAGGAGGAACACCGGUGGCGAAGGCGGCUUGCUGGGCCAGUUCUGACGCUGAGGAGCGAAAGCGUGGGGAGCGAACAGG
rnacentral:rRNA from 1 species